rnacentral:rRNA from 1 species
CCUACGGGCGGCAGCAGUGGGGAAUAUUGGGCAAUGGAGGAAACUCUGACCCAGCAACGCAGCGUGAAUGAUGAAGGUCCUCGGAUUGGAAAGUUCUUUUUUUAGGGAAGUAGAAAGUGACGGUACCUUAGGAAUAAGCCUCGGCUAACUACGUGCCAGCAGCCGCGGUAAUACGUAGGAGGCGAGCGUUAUCCGGAAUGACUGGGCGUAAAGGGUGCGUAGGUGGUUUGGCAAGUUAGUAGCGUAACUCCAAGGCUCAACCUUGGAACUACUACUAAAACUGUUGGUCUUGAGUGCAGGAGAGGCAACCGGAAUUCCUAGUGUAGCGGUGGAAUGCGUAGAUAUUAGGAAGAACACCAAUUGCGAAGGCAGGUUGCUAGACUGUGACUGACACUGAUGCACGAAAGCGUGGGGAGCAAACAGGAUUAGAUACCCCUGUAGUC